AGCUGAAAUGCUGCUCCUAGGUUUUCGAUUUUUUUUACAGGGAGUAAAGGGGCAGCGAGUUCAUGGGUAUUGAAUGAUGAUAAUAACUAACAUUUUUCUAAGCCCUCACUAUGUGCCAGGCACUGUGAGGAGCAACUUGUGUGUUUCUUCUUUACUCCUGAAACGCCCCGAUGAGGUUGAAUUGACCAAAGCAAUGGUUAUGGAGAAGCCUAGUCCCCUGCUGGUCGGGCGGGAAUUUGUGAGACAGUAUUACACACUGUUGAACCAGGCCCCAGACAUGCUACACAGAUUUUAUGGAAAGAACUCUUCUUAUGUCCAUGGGGGAUUGGAUUCAAAUGGAAAGCCAGCAGAUGCUGUCUAUGGACAGAAAGAAAUCCAUAGGAAAGUGAUGUCACAAAACUUCACCAAUUGCCACACUAAGAUCCGCCACGUUGAUGCUCAUGCUACUCUGAAUGACGGUGUGGUGGUCCAGGUGAUGGGCUUGCUCUCUAAUAACAACCAGGCUUUAAGGAGAUUCAUGCAGACCUUUGUCCUUGCUCCUGAGGGCUCUGUUGCAAAUAAGUUCUAUGUUCACAACGAUAUCUUCAGAUACCAAGAUGAAGUCUUUGGUGGCUUCAUCACUGAACCUCAGGAGGAAUCUGAAGAAGAAGUAGAGGAGCCUGAAGAAAGACAACAGACACCUGAGGUGGUACCUGAUGAUUCUGGAACUUUUUAUGAUCAAACUGUCAGCAAUGACUUAGAAGAACAUUUAGAAGAAGCUGUUGCUGAACCAGAGCCUGAACCGGAACCAGAACCAAAGCAGGAACCUGUAUCUGAAAUCCAGGAGGAAAAGUCUGAGCCAGUAUUGGAAGAAACUGCUCCUGAGGAUGUUCAGAAGAGUUCUUCUCCAGCACCAGCAGACACAGCCCAGACAGUGCAGGAGGACUUGAGAACCUUUUCUUGGGCAUCUGUGACCAGUAAGAACCUUCCACCCAGUGGAGCUGUUCCAGUUACUGGGAUACCCCCACAUGUUGUUAAAGUACCAGCUUCACAGCCUCGCCCGGAGUCUAAGCCUGAAUCUCAGAUUCCAUUUCAGAGGCCUCAGAGGGAUCAGAGGGUGCGAGAACAGCGAAUAAAUGUUCCUCCCCAGAGGGGACCCAGACCAGUCCGUGAGGCUGGUGAGCAAGGCGAUGUGGAACCCCGAAGAAUUGUGAGACAUCCUGACAGUCACCAGCUCUUCAUUGGCAACCUGCCUCAUGAGGUGGACAAGUCAGAGCUUAAAGACUUUUUUCAAAAUUAUGGGAAUGUGGUAGAACUGCGUAUUAACAGUGGUGGGAAAUUACCCAAUUUUGGGUUUGUUGUGUUUGAUGAUUCUGAGCCUGUUCAGAAGGUGCUUAGCAACAGGCCCAUCAUGUUCAGAGGAGAGGUCCGUCUGAAUGUGGAAGAAAAGAAGACUCGAGCCGCCCGUGAAGGGGACCGCCGGGAUAACCGCCUGCGGGGACCUGGAGGCCCUCGAGGUGGGCUGGGCGGUGGCAUGAGAGGCCCACCUCGUGGAGGCAUGGUGCAGAAACCAGGAUUUGGAGUGGGCAGGAGCAUUGCUCCAAGGCAGUGAAAUACUCUUCACCAGUCUUCAGGCAGGAGUACAGACUAGCUCCCACAGAAUGAUGAAUUUCUUCAGCCAACCUUGGUAUCUUGGAAUGUGAUCCCACUCUGUCACAAACUGCUUAAGUUUGUGCAGUUUUACUUUUUGUGUUAAUGGUGUGCGCUCCUUCUCUCCCCUGCUCCCCACCUUUUAGUCCUUCACUUCCAAUUUUGUGGAAUGAUAUUUUAGGAAAAAUGGAUUUUUAAAGAAGAAAAAAAAGACUGAAUUUCUUUGCUUUAUUUGCAUAUACAGACUGGAUUUUUUUUUUUUAACAGUUUCCCCCAAAGGAAUGUGUCUUGCUUCUUACUGACAUUUGGUAUGUUUCAUUCAUUGGACUAUUUCUUACUUACUUUCUAUGUGUUUCAAAAGCCUGUGAGAAUGACAGGAUUUGGUAAACAUUUUGAAGACCGGAGAAACCCAAAUUGUUUUCCUCUUUGAGAGUCAUGACUAUCUUCUGGUGUGGAGAAAUUGCCAUUGGAAAAAUUGACAAUUUUGAUUCUCAUUGAUGUGGUUAAAAACUGAAUAAAAGGUGUUCGAGUUUUCUUUUAAAACGUGAUCACAAAACAAUUCUAAAAUCUACUGUUUUUGACAUUGGAAUUUAAAUCGUGAGAUAGAUUUAAAUGUCUAGAAUGCAACUGAUAAGCUUUUCUUGAACUGUUAGUUUUUUUUUGAAGUAGAGUUUUUUUCAUGUUUAAUUUGUAUUUGUAAAAAAAGAAAAAAAGAACAAAAAAAAUUUCCAAAUCUAAGUAACACAAAACCAGAGCAAAACUGUUGUGCCUUCUAUUUAUCUUUGAUUCCAGUCUUGGCAAUUGUUUAAAGAAAAUAAUAAAAAAAAAAGACCCCUAGAUUUGUUCUAUCAGGUUCAGAGUAUGUUGGGAAUUAUGACUCCCUUUUUUACCCUGUAUGUCUUGUGUUCAUUUGUUAUGCCUUAUUCUGAAAUUGAGUUUCGAUCUGGAAUGCCUUUGAGUACAGAUGCUUCUGUAGAGUCCUUUGACCUGAAUAGUUCAGCAUUUGUAUUAAGUUUUAUUUCAGUGUCUAUUCAGAAUCAUAGCCCAUAAGAAAGAAUGUGACAUUAAUGUUGGA